AAGAAGAACAAGAAGCUGCUGUGUUUGUACUGUAGAGCCUCAUCUAUCUUUAAUAAUGCAGUCAGCAGAGGAGAGACACGUCACCCCUGUGGAUCUACAACAUGAAGGAUUUCUAAUAAAACAAGAGGAAGAAGAUGGAAGUUACUUCUAUGAAGGAGACUUAAUCCCUGUGGAACUUGUCACCUCUGAGGAACAUCUCUCCCCAGUGUACCAACAGUGUGGAGGUUUCCAGAUGAAGCCUGUGAAGAAGGAAGAACCUGAAGAUAAAGAUGAACUUAGUAAGAUAUUUGUAUUGAAUAGAAUCAGAGGCACCUGGGAUGAAGCAUCAUACAGUGAAAGCUUGUAUUGUAAAUACCACCCAACAUUUUCUGCAACUU